GCAUUAAUGGGGUAGUGGUAACCUGGGUCGUUGCCAUUUGGAUUUCUAAUCUAGAAGUUCGACCCGCCGGGGGUUCGAUUCCCCCUUAAUGCA